GCUGGCGUAGCUCAACUGGUAGAGCACCCGAUUUGUAAUCGGGCGGUUGUGGGUUCAAGUCCCUCCGUCAGCUCCA
rnacentral:tRNA from 1 species